AUAUAACUUUCUCUCUCAAAUGUUUCUCUCUCUACUAGCAGAUUUUCUUUGAAAUCUCUUCUCUCUCGCUGCUAACGAUUGUCUCUCUCGGUGUUAUCGAUCCUCUCUCUCGCGUAGAUUUCGUCUACUGAUGCUCUAUCUUCUUCGCAUCACAUCUUCGUCAGCUGUAGAAAUCGAAAUCAAAAACAGUUUUGGAGGUGUUGAUUUAUAAUCUGUGUACGAUGAUAACAAAGAUCUCAUCAAAAUCAGUGAUAAUCAAGGUUAUGAUCGAAAGGAUCCAGGAUCAGAGAGAAUUUGAAGAAGGUGAAACCUUGAGAUAACCCCAAGGAUUUAAGCUUGAGGGCGCAUUUGAGCAAUCGCGAUAUAGAUGGAGAUAUUAAUACCACAAUUCUGAAGUAAGAAUUUACUACAUGUAAUGUGUUGUUUUAACUUUGAUCUUAAUGUUCCUGUUGCUGGAUUAGGAAUGUCGUGUUGCAUACUUGUUGAGAAGAUAUUAGAUUUUAUAACGUACUUGUAUCUUAUUGCGUUCCAGGAAGAACAUCUCAGUGGAUCUGAAGUUACUAUGUCAAGUUCAGAGACGGGCUCUGAACAUAAUACAACUCGAGUGCUUGGCAUGACAAAUUUUAAUAUCACAAAAGAUGGUAAAAGCUUCCUAUCUUCUCUAGGUCAGUCCCCACUGGCUUGGAGGUCAAAACCUGAUGCGUCUGCAGAAAUCUAUGACGAAAGGCUGGGAUCACAAUCUGAAUGGUCAGGAGGUUCUCUUCUGGAUGCAAGUACAGAUGAUUCGCUAAACAGUCCACGUGAGGCUCUUCUAGGUGAGAGGUCUCAGGACACUUCAGAGAUUUGAUUGAGAAGCUUAAAGCUGAGCUUGCUGGCAGGUAGAACUUUCAGAGUUAGAAUUACAGACCUUGCGUAAGAGUAUUGUGAAGGAGAGCAAAAGGACACAAGAUCUUUAAAAAGAAGUUUCUAGCCUGAAGUAAGAGCGAGAUUCAUUCAAAGAAGAGUGUGAAAUAGCUAAACUACGAAACAAAUUUGAAUAUAAAAGAGGUGACCCUCGGGCUUUUCUUGAAGAACUGAGGCAAGAAAUGAAUCAUGAGAAGGAUCUCAAUGCAAAUCUUCGUAUACAACUUCAAAAGACACAAGAAUCAAACAAUGAGUUGAUUCUUGCUGUGCAAGACCUCGAUGAAAUGUUGGAAGAGAAGAACAAGGAGAUACCGGGCCUUUCAAACAGAUCAGCAACAACUGGAAAUGCAAAAACCA